GAGAAGGAAGGACGCUUUCAGAAGCGAAAGGCCAUGGGGGGAGAUUUUUCUGUGAUCCAUGGAUCUCCGAUCGGGAAACCGUAUCCAAGCUCCAUGGCUAGUCUGCGCUCUUUGGACUUUUCAAACUUAGCAAACUGAAACAUCUGAGUAGCUAAAGGAAGGAAAAUCAACCGAGACCCCGUUAGUAGCGGCGAGCGAGAGUGGAACAAG
rnacentral:ncRNA from 1 species